rnacentral:pre_miRNA from 14 species
GUGACUCUAUUUUUCACUCUGUGGCUGGUAGGAUUCCUGGCAGAGUGAUUUGGAAAUGUAUGGUACAAAAUCACAUUGCCAGGGAUUUCCAAUCAGUCCCGGGCCAAUCAUCCUCCUCUUG